rnacentral:pre_miRNA from 1 species
GUGCGCUCUCAGCUUUGAGAACUGAAUUCCAUGGGUUGUAACUGCACCCGCUGCCAGACCCGUGGGGCUCAGUUCUUCAGCUGGGGGGCUUCUG